GAUCGGCUCGCGGACAACCAGACAAGCUGUAAAGGAAACAAAAAUUUCUGCUCUUUUAAACUUGGUCUACAUAUACCAUGACGAUUUUGCGCUACUUCCACUUCGUUAGAAAAUGUUUCAACAAUCUUGUUUUAUUCAAUAUAUAUCAGGUAGAAUGAAUAAGUAGCGCAGGAAUCCCCAUGGUCAGGAUCACGAACGCACACCUCAGAAACAUCCAACGAUGGCUUCAGCAACACAUCGCAUGCAAUUUACGCGACGUUGCCAAGAAGUCUCGAGUACUUACGUUCAGGUACCAGAUAUGAUACUCAGGAGCAAGACAAUUCUGCUCACCGAGAUCAUCCACACGGACUGCUUACAUAUUAAUAAUGGUUUUAUAAAAGAAGCAGCCUUCAGCGCGAUUCAAUCUUGGACAACUUGCCUUGCGUCCAGUUCGAACGAAGACAUUGUACAGGAAGGUUUAAGGCUCGUGUCGUGAAAUGACACGUUUCCAUUCUCUCUCGAAACAUGACUUUGAAUGAUAUCGUAUUGAUUCCAAUAGGUUCUUUUCCCUCGGAUCUAUUGGGUGAAUGGUGGACUCGCAGUCGAAACGGGCAAUCAACGAUUCAUAAUUAUAUACACAUAUGAUAGCAUGCAAAUGGCAACGCCGUGUUCCAGUUGGAUCACUCAUGAGGUGUCGCUCGUAUCGAUCGAUCGCGUUUUAAGUUCAUGUCAAUACAAGGUUGGCCUUACUCUAGGAACACUGAAAAGGAGAGCAGGGAGCACACUCACACCUGACCCCAGUGAAACUCGUCAAUUGCCAAUUGUCUUUCUCUGUGUUUAUAAUUAAAUGAUUAUAAUUAAACAACCGUGCAACACGCUUCCGGAUACGGUGCACCUUUGUGACUGUUACAAUUAUCGUUAUAUUUUAUUUUCUCUCACUUUUUUCUAUUCCUUACGGUUCUGCUCUGACAUGGUCAUUGGCAACAGUUCGCUACGAAGCUGCCCACUCGAGGCUGGCGAAGCGGUUUUUAAACAGGCGGGUUCGGUGAUCGUAUAAUAUAUAUUUAUAUAUAUAUUUAGAUGCGUAUAUGAAAAUGAAUAUUAAUUACAGUUAGAGCUCAAGACAAACUGGUGGAAGCAUCGUAUCUUUGCACGAGCACGAAGCUGCUCUUCACCGGCGAUCGUCUUAAUGAUUUUGCCAUCCCUUUUCGUAGGGGUCGGGUCGAAACAGGGAGCAAGUGGUGCUUCAUUCAACAUGAAACUCAUCUACACACUUUGGUUAUAGUAUAUCGUACGAUAAGGCAAAUGGGGUGUGGAGGAAUUACGUACGUGAAAAAGGUACGCAAAGAGAAACUAUAUUGGGGAAGAAGAAAGGAUAUAUAAAGAGAAGAAAGAUCGUGGAAUAAAAAUAAAAGGAAACAAAAUGAUUUGUAAAAAUAGCUAUUUAUAUCAAACGGGUGUUCACACGUAUAAUAUGGUAACAGCAAUAUCGAGUAAGGACUACAAGACCGGUUUAGCAAGGAACUUGGGGGUGAAGGAAUGUUCUAGAUAAAAAUGAUAUAGUGUCACAAAACACUUAAGAAGCCACUACGCCACGGACCACCAAUAUGCAUUGAUGCAAAAAACCCAUCCAUGAUGCCAAGUACUUUAACAGGAAUCGAACUACUAUCAAGGAAUUUUUACGUUGGAUCGAUUCAAUCAGGAGAACCAGGGGAAUAAUUGUGUAGCAAGGUUCCUAUAUGUAUGAAUAUGUGUGUAUUCAUGUGUGUGUAUGAUAUGUGGAGCGUGCGUGCGUGCGUGCUGCAUCGCUAUAUCAAUAUAUAAAUUAUACAUAAUCGGAUGACGUCGUCGAAUGUAAAAUGUCAGUGUCAAUGUCAAUGCU